ACCCAGUCAGUUCCCAUCACUGAGCACAGACCCUCGGUUCAGUAGAAAUCUUCUUGGGAAAAGGAAAAGCAACCAUAAAAAUGAAUAGAAUUUGGGCGUUGUGCUUUGGGGUGCUUCUUAUAACCUUAUUAUUUGCAACUCAGGGGUCCACAGAUGGAAGCCGUAGCUCAUCAUCAGCAGCAUCUUCAUCAGCUACGGCUGCUCCCGUAAACGGUAGUCAUUCCAGUGCUGCAGGAUUGGGUCCUGUGCCCACUACACUGUGCCUACUGAUCCCAGCAGCCACCCUGGGCUUCCUCCACACUAGAUCUUAAAUUGGAUGGAGAAUGUUCACCACAAAUGACCAAGAUUGAAACAGUGGCAAAAAUGGACAUCCAGUCACCCAAAGAGCAAUCUUUUCCAAAAUUUUUUAAAAUAGAAGACACAAAGGGGAGGGAAGACACCCCCAACAGCUCACAUUUGUAAUGGAUCUUUUAAAGCUUAGAGAUUUUCUCCAACACCGAUUUGUUUGCUCAACCUGUUUUAGGGAGCUUGUAAGAAAUCUACAACUGGAUAAUCAACGGCUGAACCACACUAUUGGGCUCUUUGUCUUGACUGUCCCAAAGCCACUGUUUUAGUAUAGGGUUCACCAAUGGCAACUUCUCUUGGAAAAGUCUGUUUCCCAGAUGCCCAGGAUAUCAAUUAUAUUUGGUUGAGGCAAACUUUAAACAGUUAAGCAUUAUAUUAUCAUUAUAUAUUGUAUAAUUUCAAUUUCUGUAAUGGCAAUAUGUGUACACCAAAUUUUACUAUGUGAACUUGAUCUAUGUAAUCCAUCUAUAGUCAUUUUUGUAUUGAUUAUAAUGAACCUUUAAUUGUAAUGAUUAAGAAUGUCUCAGAAUGCACAAUUAAAGCUGAUGAUUUUA